UUUCAAAGCCAUUGAGAACAUGUAGAAGGCACUCAGCUGCACAACAUCCACUAGUGUAAUCACUAGAGACAAUCUGCGAGAAGACCUGCCAUCCAUGCGUCAUGACACUGCCCCGCCAAGGCAAUCUGCUUAUCAACAGAGAGAACGAGUUGCCACGCAAGAAACCGCAUGACACUCGUCUCAAGACGUAAGGGAGAAGAAAAGAAGGAACAACGCUCGGAUGGUCCGCUCAUCAAGCAAAGACCAGAUAAUGUCGGGCCGGAGAACACACGAACGUCGUGCUCCACAACCUGCUGGGAUUGCGAUCGAGCACAAUGACGAGGAGAUGGUGGAGCCGCAUCAAGAAUCGGUCAUGCAUGCGGAGUACACUCAAGCAGAUAUGGAUGACUACAUCUCGAGGACAUUCUACUGAGGUAACACACGAAAACCCUUUGUAAAUACCGCUUUUGUUUUUGUUUUUGUGUUUAUUUUCAAU
rnacentral:sRNA from 1 species